AGUUGUAUCCUGGCUCAGGAUGAACGCUNGCGGUAUGCCUAACACAUGCAAGUCGUACGAGGGUUUCAUACCCAAGUGGCGGACGGGUGAGUAACACGUGAGAAUUUGCCCUAAGGAGGGGGAUAACAACUGGAAACGGUUGCUAAAACCCCAUAUGCUUCCGAGUGAAAUAGAUUUAUCUGCCUUAGGAGAAGCUCGCGGCUGAUUAGCUAGUUGGUAAGGUAAUGGCUUACCAAGGCGACGAUCAGUAUCUGGUUUGAGAGGACGAUCAGACACACUGGAACUGAGACACGGUCCAGACUCCUACGGGAGGCAGCAGUGGGGAAUUUUCCGCAAUGGGCGAAAGCCUGACGGAGCAAUACCGCGUGAAGGAAGACNGCCUAUGGGUUGUAAACUUCUUUUUUCAGGGAGGAACUCANUGAC
rnacentral:rRNA from 1 species